UUAAAAACAAAACAACAGGUAAAGACAAAGAUGCCCCCGUGCAGCCUUCGACAGACUUUUGGGGGCAAGUUGCUGGUACUCGAGCUGCCCAUCCGGCAAGGGAACACGUGAUGGUGGUGGGUAGGUGGGUGGCCAGCAUCCACGCCCGACCGCCUUUGUCUCCCGCAAGUGGCGACGCUUAUGCUGCACACCGCACAAGGUGGACACAUUUGAGGCUGAGUCGACCUAGGGGGAGGCCGGGUUCGUAGCCAAAACAAAGAGGAAGGUGGAGUGAGAGAAUCGGACGCGGAGGCGAAGCACGGCAGGAAUGUGUCAGCGCUCCGUGCGCGUUGUUAUCGCACCGUUGUCCGACGGUUCGCAUCGGAGAGCUUCUGCCUAGAUACCGAAUGAGGCUCCCCCGGCGCCGAUGGAACCGUUAACGCCGGACAUUGUGCCGAACAGUGUCAACAACAACAACAACAACGAAUGCACGCGGCUGCGACACGUUGGGGAGGGGUCGUGCAGACAGAGAUAUCGAUACAUAACAGAAGGUUCUAAUCCAUUCUUACAAUAACACAGGAUGGUGUUAAGAUGUUCAAACACCAACAUAGAUCCAUAACAGAAGGUUCUAAUCCAUUCUGACAAUAACACAGGUGGUGUUAA